ensembl:snoRNA small nucleolar RNA SNORD78
UUGUGAUGCUUUACAAAUGUCUGACCUGAACACACAAUGUGGACAAGCUUUGACUGAAA